GCCAGGGCGACAUGACAUAUACUAAAAUCGGACUGUGCAGAGAAGGUUAGCAUGGCCCCUGCGCAAUGAUGAUGUGCAUAUUCAUAGAGUGUUCCAUAUUUUU